AUUUAUAACAGAAAUUUGCCAAAGUAGCCUUUUCUUCGGGGCUACUAAACUAGUAAAGCAGAGACUGUGCGUAAAGGAGAGAAUCCCACACAUGCGCAGAAGCUUUGGAUUUAGUUGUCGGAAAAUGGUUCUAGAGAAUUCGGAUAUGCAGCCACUCUGUAUUUUGAAACUUUUCUUAAUCGUCUCAGGGGUACAAUCCUUGAUUCUGUUUCAUUCCCCCCCAGAUAAAUGGCAGCUCUGCUUUUUGGUUUGCUAAAAAGCUGCUGACAGACGUGACUGAAGAAAUGUAAUAAGUGGGUAACAUUCAUUGAAAUUACCAUUGAACAGCUGUACAUAUUGCAGAUUUCACCUUUAAAAAAUGAUUGACACUUUCUUUAGAAAUAUAUGAAAUGUACCAGUGAUCAGUUGUAUGAACACCCAUCCACCAACAUGCUAGCAGUGCUAAUUUACAUUAAGUUAUAAAAAGACUGACAUUGUUAGGGCCAACAGGAACCGGCGACCAUCGCACCACUUUGUAAAGAUGAGCAUGUCAGGUGGGACUUGGACAGUCAAAACUGGGGAUGACGAGACGACACUGCUAUUCUUAGCUUUUUUGUUCAGUGUUGAGAGAAGAAUUGGGACCCUACUUUCACCUCCACUACCACCCUAUAACCAGGCCACGAACGCCAGACUGCCAGCCACCAAAGUAGUUCUCAUUAUUACGAGAUGUGGAAGAUCAAACCCCCCAUCACGUACGCUUUGGAAGCAAAGUACAGGCCCUAUCUUGAGACUGCAGUGAGGUGUAUAACAUCAGUAAUGCCCAGACAAUUGGCUUGGACAAG
ensembl:lncRNA